rnacentral:rRNA from 1 species
GACAGAGGGGCCGAGCGUUAGGCGGAAUCACUGGGCUUAAAGCGUGUGUAGGCGGAUCGUUAAGUACCUUGUGAAAUCCCACGGCUUAACCGUGGAACUGCUUGGUAUACUGGCGAUCUUGAGCCACCUAGGGGCAACCGGAACAAAUGGUGGAGCGGUGAAAUGCGUAGAUAUCAUUUGGAACGCCAAUGGUGAAAACAGGUUGCUGGGGGUGUGCUGACGCUGAGACACGAAAGCCAGGGGAGCGAACGGG